GUCUUACUGGAAUAUCUGAAAUGAGUGAUGCCAGACUGAUAAUCACAGAUAAGUAAUCAGAGUAUUUAGAAACAUGGGAACUGUGACAUCCGUGAUUAAGGGCUGGAAGAAAACUCAUGGGAAGUAUUGUGUGUGCUUGCUCUGUUCUGCUCUUCCUGGACCUCCACAUUCGAUCACUGUCAGGAGCAAAAUAUGAACUAGGCAGAUCUUUGUUGUGACUCAUGUUCUUGUCUGUUUACCAUACCACAAAGACAUUGCUGAGCCUCUGCUUAAGUGGAAGGUAGGAGGU